AUAUGGAAGCUCGUCUGAAGAUUGUCCAUCGGAGAGGUGCGGUUUCAUGAGGAAUCCGACAGAGGGUCAUCCGACAGUGGAGUUCGGAUGGCACUGUGAAGGUUCGUCCGCUGGAGGAGUCUUGAGGACACUGAGGAAGGUCGAACAUUGGAGGAGUCUGGGAUUUAAUUCUGUUAUAGAAGUUCGGACGGAGUCCGGCUCUUGUAGGAGUCUGAAAGGAGGCCGCUUAUUGUAGAAGCUCGGAUGA
rnacentral:lncRNA from 1 species